rnacentral:snRNA from 1 species
AAAACUUUUCCAAAAGAAAAAUCUGUUCUUAUCAGUUUAAUAUCUGAUACGUCCCCUAUCUGGGGACCAUAUAUUAAAUUGAUUUUUGGAAUAGGGAGAUGGAAUAGGGGCUUGCUCCGUCCACUCCACGCAUCGACCUGGUAUUGCAGUACCUCCAGGAACGGUGCACCCCCU